GACGAACGCUGGCGGCGUGCCUAAUACAUGCAAGUCGAGCGGACUGAAUGGGAGCUUGCUCUUGUUCGGUCAGCGGCGGACGGGUGAGUAACACGUGGGCAACCUGCCCGCAAGACCGGGAUAACUCCGGGAAACCGGAGCUAAUACCGGAUAACACCGAAGACCGCAUGGUCUUUGGUUGAAAGGCGGCGCAAGCUGCCACUUGCGGAUGGGCCCGCGGCGCAUUAGCUAGUUGGUGAGGUAACGGCUCACCAAGGCGACGAUGCGUAGCCGGCCUGAGAGGGUGACCGGCCACACUGGGACUGAGACACGGCCCAGACUCCUACGGGAGGCAGCAGUAGGGAAUCUUCCGCAAUGGGCGAAAGCCUGACGGAGCGACGCCGCGUGAGCGAAGAAGGCCUUCGGGUCGUAAAGCUCUGUUGUGAGGGACGAAGGAGCGCCGUUUGAAGAAGGCGGCGCGGUGACGGUACCUCACGAGGAAGCCCCGGUUAACUACGUG
rnacentral:rRNA from 1 species